UAAUAGCCCCGAUUGUAAUGAAAAUCCUUUUUGCCGCUGAAGUCCCUCUCCAUUGGAGAGGGAUUUAGGGUGAGGAAAAAGAUUGUAAUGGAAAGCGGGAAAAAGC
rnacentral:sRNA from 1 species